CAUAAACCUCGCCGGUGACGGUGUUGAGUGAACGAAUCGAUUUUCUGAGACUGGAAACGUACACGUAAGGUUGUCAGAUCGAUUGGGGAUUUACGUCUGUAUAUGGGCGAACUCACGUACGCAGCGGUUCGGCAGGAAGCAUUUCAGCAAUCCGCCGGAUCAAAUCCGUCCACAGCUUUCCCAGCUCAACAUCACGCAUCCGAGGAGGAGCUUCGAUGUAUCCUAGAGUUUCACCAGCAGGGUUACCGGUGACAUGUUUGGAAGUGGCGGGCGGUACAGUCAUGACUGGCAGCCAGGGCCACACUGUUAACGUGUUCCGGCUCGAUAGCCACCUAUUGCAGUUCACCCUAAACGGCCAUUGCGGUCCUAUUACAUGUAUUUUCAUAGACCAGUGGCAGGCUGAGAUGGGCGCAUCUGGUUGCCAGGAUGGUGUGCUAUAUGUGAGGGACUUGAUACGGGGUGCCUGUAUGUACAAAAUUGAAGCCCAUGACGACUCAAUCGUCGCACUUGCCUGUUCCCCGAGUUACGCAAUAUCGCUCGGACUGAACGAAUGAAUACGGUUCUGUGACUACGGAAAUCAAAUGAGAAUCGUUCGUUUCCCUCUUGUUGCGUCGGAAAAGUGGUUCGGUCGGGGGAAUCGUAAUCGACCAGCUAACGAAAACAAAUGUACAGCAGCUUCUGAACGAAGC